AUCAAGCACACACAAAAUAGGAACAGGUGUAACAAAUGAGACAAAACUAACAGAAAAGAAAAAGGGAUCGGUGGCGGCUGGUGACGAUGACCGCCGAGCACCACCCGAACAGGCGGAGGAGCCAACUUCGGCGGGAGUCGUAACAGCCUUUGUCAAGUACUUGUUACACUGUAAAGAUUAAACAUCUAAUCAACUUCAUUUUUGGGCUUACAGAGUUGGUUUGGUUCCAGAAGACAGGGAAGAAAUCAACUCUGGCUGUCGGAGCAACCAGUCCAACACCUGCUGUGUUCAAUGUCACUAAGGGUCUAUCUGACAAGCAGUGGCAGUCCAUACAAGGGGAGAUGCCAGGCAAUAUGACAAGAGAGGACUUUAAUGAGACCUGCAACACCAUCCUAUCAUGGGUGAAAGAGGCCGUUGGGACUGCUGUGAAGCCUGCCCUGGACCUGACCUGGGAAAUCAUCACCACUAACGGAUCUUCAAUAUUGUCCACCCCCUCCAGCUGUUCACGAACAGAGGAAUGCUCAGUUGUGAUCUGUCCCUUUCCAUC